rnacentral:rRNA from 1 species
UUAAAUCAGUUAUGUUUAUUUGAUAGUACCUUACUACAUGGAUAACCGUGGUAAUUCUAGAGCUAAUACAUGCUAAAAAUCCCGACUUCGGAAGGGAUGUAUUUAUUAGAUUAAAAACCAAUGCCCUUCGGGGCUCUCUGGUGAUUCAUAAUAACUUCUCGAAUCGCACGGCCUUGCGCCGGCGAUGGUUCAUUCAAAUUUCUGCCCUAUCAACUUUCGACGGCUGGGUCUUGGCCAGCCAUGGUGACAACGGGUAACGGAGGGUUAGGGCUCGACCCCGGAGAAGGAGCCUGAGAAACGG